CCAUCAUUUAUGUCCAACAGUUUCUCAAGCAAUGAUUGAAUUUCAAUUUCCAUAGACUUCCAUGAUCUGCUUGACCCGGCCGGUGGCGACCGAGUAUCUACAUAA